ACUUUCCUCUCUCUGGCACCAGGCACCAGGAAGGCAAAGGUUCAAAGGCUACUCCAUUCAGGGCAGCAAGGUAUGCCACCUCCCUUCAUAUGUGAAUUGUCUAGAUGCAUCAUUUGGCUAUCAAGCACUGUAAAAUCAUUUUUGGAGCUUUAGUACUUGACAAAUAGUGGUCUUUUGAAUAAUAUUCCAUCCUUUUUGGAGCAUCCUCUGUAUAUCAGAAGUUAGUAAUAUGAAAUAUACCUGAAGUUAGUAAUAUGAAAUAGACCUGAAAUUAGUAAUAUGAAAUUUAUCUGUUUUUGACUCAUAGUAUGACUUGCAUUUCAUUGAUAGAAUGGUAGGACUGGCUUAUAUUUGCAGGAUUCAUGUGAAACUGUUGAGUACAAGAACAUUAUCUUCUCUGUUUGGAAUUUUUUCUCAACACACAUAGCAUUACAUUAUUUAAAGUUGUGAUGAUUGCUCAUGGUUAGAGUUUGCAAAAAUUAGGUGCUUAUGUCGCGUGUUCCCUUACAUUAUUUUAUCUCUGCUUAUGAGCUGCGUGAUUGCCAAUUUUCAUGUCAUUUCCAGGUUUAUUUUCAUGUGCUGCAAAAGGUGCUGAAUAACCCGGCUCAACAAGGAAGUAGACCUUGAACUACAGAGAGUUCAAGCAGAUUCUUUCAGGAUACAGUGAAGUAGCGCUUUGAUCUUUUAUGUUCUGGUAGGUAUGAUUUUCCCAUUCCCCUCUAUCUGAUUGGUGCCUGCACUUCAUAUGGAUUCAUUGACUUAAAAGAUACAUGCUUUGUAUUAUUUUUUCCCUUUCAAAAAGUAAUUCAUUGACUUCAUAGGUUGUAGGGAUCUAGCAUUAUCUGGAAAUUUUUAUGUAGGGAUAGUUGUAAUCAGAGAAACCCAUUUUGUUCUAUGCAUAUGCAACUUUGCUGCUUGCUCUUGCUUUAAUUUAAUUAUGAGCCAUACAUGAUUUCUCAUUUUGAGUUUCAGUUUACUAAAUAAUCUAAUACAAGGAGUUGCUUGCCUGAGAAUUAUUGUCAUUAUUUCCACUGUCUAAUAUAAAGAGUUGUUGGGUCAUGUAUAGAGUGCAAAUCUGUUCCUGUUAACAUUUGUUGUGCCUCUAUUCUGCACGUUUUUUUUUUUGAAAUCUAUUCUGCGUGUUGGUGCUGCUAUAAAUUUGGAUCAGCCAAGGAUUUUAAACACUAAUAUUCUUAAAGCUUUUUCAGUUCUUCCUCUAGCAUCAGCACGGAGCUACUCCAUCCAGAACAAGUUGUUUGCUUUCUUUCUGUGCUGUCAACAGAUAUGCAAUAAGCAAAUCAUCGCAGGGCAGCAGGAUGGUACUGCUUACUUGUCCAGUUGUUCCUGUUUUUCUGUCCCCAUGAUUUGCAGGUUAGCCCAAGCCUGAACCUCCUAGAUCCCUAAUUUAUUUACAGAUUGAUAGAGAGACUCUAAUAGUUUGUUCGAUUUGUAGGUUUUUAUCUCAAAUUUCAGUAUUGUGUGCAUGUAGGAGAUAUCUCUUGAGUCUGCAUCUAUUCCAAAAGUUAGAUGAACCAUAAUUCUUUCUUGUGCACACACAUCUGAAUCUUGAACUCAUUUCUAUAAAAUUUUCUCUCUGUCUUUCUCCUCUGUUACUACUAGCUAGAUUCUUUAUUGAUGUUUUGCAUUGUCUGUAUACAUAGCCACUUAACAUUGGUUCAGUUCUAUUUGCUGAUGUGGAAACACAAUUUUGUUGCUUAAAGUUUGCAUGAAAGAAACGAAGCAGUAGUUAUAUAUGCCUUGUUAUACCAAGUCUUGGUGGAGAAUCUGCUUCUAAGUUUUCAAGGUUUUUUACCUCUGGCACCUUUCCAUAUAACUUUGUUUAGACUGCAUUAGUGAUAAAUGGAACCUUUGGUUUUCAGGUCAGAAUGAGCUUAGAUGUACACUGGUGCAGCAAGAGGAUCAAAGUGCUCAUGGUGGCUAUUUUUGAAAGAUUUUGUCAUGCAAGAAAAUCAUAUGAGUUGUAUUGUGCAAGCUACCC
rnacentral:lncRNA from 1 species